rnacentral:rRNA from 1 species
AAGUCGAGCGGUAACAGGAAUUAGCUUGCUAAUUCGCUGACGAGCGGCGGACGGGUGAGUAAUGCCUGGGAAUAUGCCUUGAUGUGGGGGAUAACUAUUGGAAACGAUAGCUAAUACCGCAUAAUGUCUUCGGACCAAAGAGGGGGAUCUUCGGACCUCUCGCGUCAAGAUUAGCCCAGGUGAGAUUAGCUAGUUGGUGGGGUAAGAGCUCACCAAGGCGACGAUCUCUAGCUGGUCUGAGAGGAUGAUCAGCCACACUGGAACUGAGACACGGUCCAGACUCCUACGGGAGGCAGCAGUGGGGAAUAUUGCACAAUGGGCGAAAGCCUGAUGCAGCCAUGCCGCGUGUAUGAAGAAGGCCUUCGGGUUGUAAAGUACUUUCAGUCGUGAGGAAGGGUGUGUAGUUAAUAGCUGCAUAUCUUGACGUUAGCGACAGAAGAAGCACCGGCUAACUCCGUGCCAGCAGCCGCGGUAAUACGGAGGGUGCGAGCGUUAAUCGGAAUUACUGGGCGUAAAGCGCAUGCAGGUGGUUCAUUAAGUCAGAUGUGAAAGCCCGGGGCUCAACCUCGGAACCGCAUUUGAAACUGGUGAACUAGAGUGCUGUAGAGGGGGGUAGAAUUUCAGGUGUAGCGGUGAAAUGCGUAGAGAUCUGAAGGAAUACCA